rnacentral:misc_RNA from 1 species
GUGAGUCAUCGAAUCUUUGAACGCACAUUGCGCCCCUUGGCAUUCCGAGGGGCAUGCCCGUUCGAGCGUCAUUAUAACCCCUCAAGCCUAGCUUGGUGUUGGAGCCUGCCGUUACCGGCAGCUCUUAAAAUCAGUGGCGGUGCCAUCUGGCUCUAAGCGUAGUAAUACUUCUCGCUACAGGGUCCCGGUAGAUGCUUGCCAUCAACCCCUAAUUUUCUAUGGUUGACCUCGGAUCGGGUAGGGAUACCCGCUGAACUUAAGCAUAUCAAUAAGCGGAGGA